rnacentral:rRNA from 1 species
AUACGGAGGGUGCAAGCGUUACUCGGAAUCACUGGGCGUAAAGGACGCGUAGGCGGGUUGGUAAGUCAGGUGUGAAAUCCUACAGCUUAACUGUAGAACUGCACUUGAAACUACCAACCUAGAGUAUGGGAGGGGGAGAUGGAAUUAGUGGUGUAGGGGUAAAGUCCGUAGAUAUCACUAGGAAUACCGAAAGCGAAGGCGAUCUCCUGGAACAUAACUGACGCUAAGGCGUGAAAGCGUGGGGAGCAAACAGGAUUAGAUACCCCAGUAGUCC